rnacentral:rRNA from 1 species
UACGUAGGGAGCAAGCGUUGUCCGGAAUCAUUGGGCGUAAAGCGCGCGUAGGCGGCCUCAUAAGUCCGUUGUGAAAGUCAAAGGCUCAACCUUUGAAAGCCGAUGGAUACUGUGAGGCUAGAGUCCGGAAGAGGCGAGUGGAAUUCCUGGUGUAGCGGUGGAAUGCGCAGAUAUCAGGAGGAACACCAAUAGCGAAGGCAGCUCGCUGGGACGGUACUGACGCUAAGGCGCGAAAGCGUGGGAGCGAACAGG